AGCGAACGCUGGCGGUAGGCCUAACACAUGCAAGUCGAACGGCAGCACAGUAAGAGCUUGCUCUCACGGGAGGCGAGUGGCGGAAGGGUGAGGAAGACAUCGGAAUCUACUUUUUCGCGGGGGCUAACGUAGGGAAACUUACGCUAAUACAGCAUACGACCUACGGGUGAAAGCAGGGGAUCUUCGGACCUUGCGCGAUUGAAUGAGCCGAUGUUGGAUUAGGUAGAUGGCGGGGUAAAGGACCACCAAGGCGGCGAUCCGUAGCUGGUCUGAGAGCAUGAUCAGGCACACUGUAACUGAGACACGGUCCCGACUCCUACGGGGGGCAGCAGUGGGGAAUAUUGGACGAGGGAGGCGAGCCGGAUCCAGCCAUACCGGGUGGAGCAAGAAGGCCUCAGGGUUGUAAAGCCCUUUUGUUGGUAAAGAAGAGCAGCUGUUUAAUACCCCGCUGUUCUGACGGUACCCAAAGAAUAAGCACCGGCUAACUUCGUG
rnacentral:rRNA from 1 species